AUUUCUACCAGGAAGGAAUGGGCUCUCUGCACGUGGUCACCGGCGGCGUUGAGAUGGCGGGAGCGUCGGAUCUGUCGGCCAAGCUGACUGCCGGCCGCAUCGUCAGCCGCACUAAAGAAGAUUUGAGUAUCAGCGGCUACUAUAAUCUGACCGUCUACACCGCCACGGAAAACGUCUCAGAUUCGACCUUCCUGACGCUCGGAGUCGACGACGUGGUGGCAGGAGCUAAGACGCUGACGUUCAGGACAACGAAGGACACACGCUCUUCGAGACAGGUCCUGAGGGCACCGCUGUAGGAGCCGAGACGCUGACCGUUACAGGCAGUGACGGAGCCACGUUCAGCGGCUCCGUGGAAACCCCGCUUCUCUUCGCCGAGGACAUUCAUGAACUACGAGUGGAGAGCGUGACGAGAGACGUCCGGGUGGAGGCGUCCGAGGAGGCCCGGGUGGAGGCCAGAGACGGAGACAUCACGACGGCAUCUCUCCACGACAUCUCUCUCGUGUCACGUCAGGGCGUCAUACACUUCGAUAACCCUUUCAUAUCGAUGCCGAGGCUCCCUGUGCACGGGGACGAGGCUAUCCUGAAGGAGGGGCUGCAGGAGGAGGAGCGAGAGGAGGAAAAGGAGGGAGGCGAGGCGGCGAGUCCUGGGCCGACGACGACUACUGUGAUGC